AUUGAACGCUAGCGGGAUGCUUUACACAUGCAAGUCGAACGGCAGCGCGGACUUCGGUCUGGCGGCGGGUGGCGAACGGGUGAGUAAUGUAUCGGAACGUGCCCAGUAGCGGGGGAUAACUACGCGAAAGCGUAGCUAAUACCGCAUACGCCCUACGGGGGAAAGCAGGGGAUCGUAAGACCUUGCACUAUUGGAGCGGCCGAUAUCGGAUUAGCUAGUUGGUGAGGUAACGGCUCACCAAGGCGACGAUCCGUAGCUGGUUUGAGAGGACGACCAGCCACACUGGGACUGAGACACGGCCCAGACUCCUACGGGAGGCAGCAGUGGGGAAUUUUGGACAAAGGGGGCAACCCUGAUCCAGCCAUCCCGCGUGUGCGAUGAAGGCCUUCGGGUUGUAAAGCACUUUUGGCAGGAAAGAAACGUCGCGGGCUAAUACCCCGUGGAACUGACGGUACCUGCAGAAUAAGCACCGGCUAACUACGUG
rnacentral:rRNA from 1 species